UCAUGGCGUCAGGAUGAACGCUAGCGGCAGGCCUAACACAUGCAAGUCGAGGGGCAGCAGGAGGUAGCAAUACCUUGCUGGCGACCGGCGCACGGGUGCGUAACGCGUAUGCAACCUACCCAUAACAGGGGGAUAACGGAGGGAAACUUCCACUAAUACCCCGUAUAGACACUUCGCCGCAUGGCGGGGUGACGAAAGCCGUAAGGUGGUUAUGGAUGGGCAUGCGUGGCAUUAGGUAGUUGGCGGGGCAACGGCCCACCAAGCCCACGAUGCCUAGGGGAGCUGAGAGGCUAAUCCCCCACACUGGUACUGAGACACGGACCAGACUCCUACGGGAGGCAGCAGUGAGGAAUAUUGGUCAAUGGAGGGAACUCUGAACCAGCCAUGCCGCGUGAGGGAGGAAAGGCCCUAUGGGUUGUAAACCUCUUUUGCCUGGGGGCAAUAAGGCUCAUGCGUGGGCUGAUGAGAGUACCAGGCGAAUAAGCAUCGGCUAACUCCGUGCCAGCCGCGGC
rnacentral:rRNA from 1 species